rnacentral:rRNA from 1 species
GGUGAACGCUGGCGGCGUGCCUAAGACAUGCAAGUCGAGCGGGGCAGGUUUAUACCUGUUCAGCGGCGGACGGGUGAGUAACGCGUGGGUGACCUACCCGGAAGAGGCGGACAACCUGGGGAAACCCAGGCUAAUCCGCCAUGUGGUCCUGUCCUGUGGGGCAGGACUAAAGGGGCGACCCGCUUCCGGAUGGGCCCGCGUCCCAUCAGCUAGUUGGUGGGGUAAAGGCCCACCAAGGCGACGACGGGUAGCCGGUCUGAGAGGAUGGCCGGCCACAGGGGCACUGAGACACGGGCCCCACUCCGACGGGAGGCAGCAGUUAGGAAUCUGCCGCAAUGGACGGAAGUCUGACGGAGCGACGCCGCUUGGAGGAGGAAGCCCUUCGGGGUGUAAACUCCUGAACUGGGGACGAAAGCCCCGUGUAGGGGGAUGACGGUACCCAGGUAAUAGCGCCGGCCAACUCCGUG